rnacentral:rRNA from 1 species
ACGCUCGACACCUACUGGAGGCAGCAGUGGGGAAUAUUGCACAAUGGGGGAAACCCUGAUGCAGCGAUGCCGCGUGAAGGAAGAAGUAUCUCGGUAUGUAAACUUCUAUCAGCAGGGAAGAAAAUGACGGUACCUGACUAAGAAGCCCCGGCUAACUACGUGCCUGCAGCCGCGGUAAUCUGAGCGGGCUGGCAAGGC